AUGCCAGGGGCAAAAGGCCAUAAACCACGAUAUGCUUGCAUAGAAGUGGUUUUAUGCCUUUAUGACCCGCCCCGAGAUAAGCAUAAAAGUGGAGCGCAAGCUUCACGAUAUGCGAAUAUCGGGCAGAAUUGUGAAAGCACGAAGUGCGGAACAAUUCGUCUG
rnacentral:sRNA from 1 species